GAUUGGGAGAUGACAGGGAAGGGGAGGAGCCUGGGAGGAGCCAGCACGCACUCUCCUCUUACUAUCAUUUAACAUCGAUUGUAUUUCACUGUUGACGCAAACCAGAUGACGAUUUUUUUAAGGUUUUUCAUUCAUAUUCUAAACCGCAAUGAUGAGUUUCGCGCCUUCGCUACAAGACACAAUCGCCGUGUGACCCAGAAAUCCCGUCACUGGGGUCGCUGCUCGAAACAGACGAUUGGGUGCCCUUGAGUUCGAUCACUUUCCGUUCAUGGCAAUCACUUGGUGUAUAUAUAGCAAGGCAGCGGACUCAGUGCCACAAGUGCCUGUCCUCCGCCGCCUCCACACGCCUCCACACGCCUUGUCGCAGCCCCGGGCACUCCACCACCAGCCAGACACAACGCACAGGGCCAACAGGCUCGUCAACAGUCACCUCGUCGCCAGUCUCGUGUCGUCCGGGCCACAGCCAUGAAGGUGGUGCCAGUGGUGGCGGCGGUGUUGUGCCUCGCCGCGGCGGGGGUCGCCACGCCCAGGCCGCAGGACCAGGACAGGGACGGCCGCUUCAUUUUCCCCACAAUCGACAUUAACCCUACCGUCAUCGAAUUACCACUGACGGACCUCCUCGGGGCUCUACCAUCAUGGCCAGUAGUCCUCCCGAAUAAGCCAGUCAUCACCAUUUCUCAUUCAACCAAAACUGGCUGAUGCCCGCGCCCCCUCACACCGCGGUCCGUGCAUGCGCGUAUGGAAGGCAGGGAGGGCGUGUCUCUCAGGGGCACUGCGUUCACCGUCGUGUAUUAGCUUUAAGUUCCUUCUGUUGCUUCUGUUUGACUUCCGUGUAUGUGUGUGUGGAUGGAUUAAAUUUACCUUUUUCC